GACUCUCGGCAACGGAUAUCUCGGCUCUCGCAUCGAUGAAGAACGUANCGAAAUGCGAUACUUGGUGUGAAUUGCAGAAUCCCGUGAACCAUCGAGUCUUUGAACGCAAGUUGCGCCCGAAGCCUCCGGCCGAGGGCACGUCUGCCUGGGUGUCACGCA
rnacentral:rRNA from 1 species